rnacentral:lncRNA from 10 species
ACGGACAAAUGUCACUGAGCCCUGACGAAAGGAUUUACAGUCUGCUGAGAAAAUGGAUGGACAGACAGACACACAGCCACAACAAUGUGGAGAGUGCUUACAUACAGGUGGCAACAAGGUCUCCUGAGAUGAUCCAGCAAGAAUUCCCAAGCCUUUGGUGGAAGGGAUAGCUGAGGAGAGUUUCCAGGGAAGCUUGGUUGGUGGUCUGGGACAUGUAGGAGAUGUCCAGGCAACACCAGACAGCUUAUAUCAAGGUGUACCUAGAGAACAAACCUGGAGAAGCAGAGUGUUCUGAGAAUCUCAAGGAAGGCCUAGUACCCAGACAUAAUGCCCCAUUCAAGACCUUGCAAGUCUUUUUCAUCGUAGUCUUAUUGUCCAUUAACAGGUUAUUCAGUUACAUUGGAGCAGUAUCUGAGGGCAAAGCCAGCACUCCAGACCCUGCACCAUUUUUGGUGGUAUUCCAGAGAAAAUGGGAUUUGGUCUAGGGGUCUUGUCUUCCUUUUCUGGGCCAAGCACAGGGAUAGGCUUUGCCUUCUCUGUGGUAUAAUAAAUGGGGUAGAACCCAAGGAAAUUGUUGGUGGGGGUUGCUCGGUAUGUGAAGUGGGAAACUUUAUGCCCCAGAGCUCAGCAUUACCAGAACCAGGUCUGGCUUCCGUCCUGUGCAAGUUAUUAGAGGCCUGACCCUUUCAAGCCAUUUGACCUCUGCAUCUCUCAUAUUUGUACGGCGGCUAUGCCUCCCUCAUUGGGUUGCUGUGAGGCUUCAAGACAAUAAUUUAUGUGAACAGGAACAGCGAGAUACCAGCUGCUUCACUGAUGCUGUCACAGUGGAGGGAAGUAGGGGGCUGGAAGUGGACGACUGUGCUCGCUAUGGCUGUGUUCUCUCCAAACCCUUGACUCCAGACAUGUGUUUCACUAGCUGUGGGCUGAGGGCAGAUCAGGAGUGAGAGAGCAUGAGAGGGGCCUGCUGGGACUCCCUGGCCUUGCAACUCUAUUCAGUUUUUGGUUUUCUUUCUGGCACACAUUGAUGCAAGUGUUGCUGCUCAACAAGGAAACAGAAAUACCUCGUGGAUAACUGACGGCAAAUAAUGUUCUCCUCACAUUUCUUACUACCUCCUGAAGAGGGCUGCUUCUGUAUGAGGACAUGGAAAGAGGAAGCCCUCCCUGCCCAGAGGUGGAUCCCAGAGGGAGCCAAGCAGUGGCUGUGCUUUGAUUGGAGAGUGACGACCCUGUGCAUAAUCAUUGAUCCCCCCAACUCCGGCACCCAUUUGGCUCCACCUAGAGUGGGGUCAAUUUCCUUACACAGGCUGCUUCAGAUGCCCCUCUUUCCCCAAGAUGAUGAUCACCCAUUUUAGCAAACUCACCACUCUGAAAAUCAGUCCUUAUUAACAAGAAUAACAGACUGUAUUUUGGCAUUUUGGGGUCAACAAUAUGGAAGAGAGUAAAAAUAUGGAGAAAAAUCUCUGGAUAUCCAGGAAUGUAGGAUUACAAACUGCUAUGAUAAAUGACUUAAAAGAUUACUUUAAAGCUUUUUAUUUGAAAACAAUUUCAAACUUGCAGAAAAGUUUCAAGAAUAGUACAAAAUAUAUCCUGUGUACUUUAUUCAGAUUUGCCUAUUGCUAACAUUUUCCUACAUUUAUUAUUUCUUUCCACCCCCUUUGCAUAUAUACAUUUUUUCCUGAACCCAUUCAAGGAUAAAUUACCUUCAUACUUGAGAGUAAUUUACACAUCUCAUGGUUACUUACCCCUAAAUACCUUAAUGUGUAUUUCCUAAGAUUAGGGACCUCCUUUUACUUAACUAUUGCAUGAUUGUCAACUUCAGGAAGUUUCAUGUUCUUUAAUUUAUUGUCUGUAAGGUGUGUAAGAACAGUAAAAUGUGUGUUUCUUUUUUUUUAGUAAAAGGGUAUAUGAAGGCAUGGAAAUGUAAACUUUUGCUGAGGGUUAAAGGAUUGUUUUAAGUUAGAUAAGGAAAGCUGAAGGUUCAAAAAAGUGGUGGAAAAAUUGUGAAAAUUAAUCUUACAGAAGAGGUUCUCUGUGUGAACAUGUUGACUAAAUUCAAAAGGGUUAUAAGGUUUUUGCUUCUUUAAAAUUUCUGAGUCGUGAUUUUGGCAAAAUAAAUAACUUGUGGUAAUCUGUAAUUCCCAAAAUCAAACUUCAUUUUCAAAAUUGUCUUCCCUGGCACCUGGCUUUUCAAAUACUUCAGAAGGCCCCCGAAAUGUCCAGAAAAGAGAGGUAAACAGGAUUAUUUGACAUGUUCAGGUACAUGGGAUUGCCAAAAUGAUGCUCAAUCUUCUUUAGGUUACAUUUUUGUGAAUAAUACUAAUAUAUAUUCUGAAAUUUUAUAGGAUUUCUAAAAUUCUAAUGUCUAAGUAUAUGUUACCAAUUACAAUUAUAGUUAAGUUAUUGUAAACCACAGAAAUAACUAAAAGGCAUACGCCGUAUAUGACUUUGUAACUUUACUUCAUCCUCUUCAUUUACAUAGGGUGUGCCCCAAGUAGAGGGUAGUUAAACUCACGAAAACUCUGUAACAGGGCCUUUGAGCUCCUACGCUCAGGCCUGCUCCCACACUGUGGAGUGUACUUUCAUUUUCAAUAAAACCCUUCAUUCCUUCCUUGCUU